GGCUUUCCGUGGAAAAUGAAAAAAAAAAAGUUUCCGUCGCUCUUGAAAUCCGCCAGCCUCAACUCUGCAGUCUGCAUUAUCUAUAAUCCUUCACCUUCUCUCCCUCGCCCUGCCCCCCCUCUAUCUCUCUCUAGAACAUAGAUUCCAGGGAUUUUUUCCAGAGGAAAGAACGACGGAAUACUAUAGCCGUAAGAGAAUUGGAGAAACAUGGCCUCCAAUCCCGCUAAUCUGUGGGUGCUACUGGGGCUGGGGCUCGCUGGGAUUCUCUUAAUGACUAGGAAGUUAAAGAAAGCGAUGAGGGAAGAUUUUGGCGCUUUUGUCGAGAAGCUUCUGCUCCUUCCUCCGCCGCAGCCUGCCCCGCCGAAAGCUCCCCAUCCUCUCACUGGCCUCACCUUUGUUGUCUCUGAUGUAUUUGACAUUGAAGGAUAUGUGACUGGAUUUGGUCAUCCAGAUUGGGUGAGGACACAUGACACAGCUUCUCGGACAUCUCCUGUAGUCUCAGCUCUUGUUGAAGGGGGUGCCACUUGCAUUGGUAAAACGGUUGUGGAUGAACUGGCUUAUAGUAUCAAUGGAGAAAAUAAGCAUUAUGGUACGCCAAACAAUCCUGCAGCCCCUGCAUGUGUACCUGGUGGAUCCUGUAGUGGAGCUGCUGUUGCAGUAGCUGCUAAUCUUGUUGACUUCUCUUUAGGUCUUGAUUCUGUUGGUGGUGUUAGAGUACCUGCUGGCUUCUGUGGCAUUAUAGGAUUCCGACCCUCAUAUGGCACCAUUCCUCUCUUUGAGAUUUUGCCUGUUUCAGCUAGUCUGGAUACUGUUGGAUGGUUUGCUAAGGAUCCAAAUGUUUUGCGUCAUGUUGGACAUUUGCUCUUGCAGCUGCCUUUUGGAAUUCAACGACAUCCUAGGCAAAUUAUAAUAUCUGAAGAUUGUUUUCAACUACUAAAGAUUCCUGUUGACAGGAUUAUGCAGGUGGUGAUUAAAUCCACUGAGAAGCUUUUUGGAAGACAAGUAUUGAGGCAUGAAAAUCUUGAGGAUAUUCUCUUUUCUAAAAUUCCAAGCUUAAAACAGUUCUACGACAAAAAAACAAACGAUCAACUCAGAAAUUCUUCAAUAAGAUUGCUUGCAAAUGUUUUGCUGCUUCUACAUAGAUAUGAAUUCAGAUGUAAUCAUGGGGAAUGGAUUAAUGUGGAGAAGCCGAACCUUGAUCAUCAUAUCUCUGCACAGAUAAAUGACACCCUAGAGAUAACAGAUAAAGAUAUUGAAAUUUGUUAUUCCAUCAGAAAUGAAAUGCGUGCAGCUAUUGACUCACUUCUGAAGGAUGAUGGAAUUUUGGUGAUUCCUACAACUGCUUAUCUUCCUCCAAAACUUGGUGCAAAAGAGAUGUUUUUAGAAGACUACCAGAUUAGUUCAUAUAGCCUAUUGAGUAUUGCAAGCCUAUCAGGUUGUUGUCAGGUGACUAUUCCGCUUGGACAUUAUGAUAAGCGUCCUGUUUCAGUAUCCUUUAUAGCCAGACAUGGGGGAGAUCGCUUUUUGCUGGAUACUGUACAGAACAUGUAUGCAUCUCUGCAAGAGCAUGUUGAUAUGCUUGCCAAGUCCAAAUUAUCUCCUGAUGCAGAAAGUCUUGAAAGAAAUGCUGAGAUGGCUAAAGAAAAGGGCAACCAAGCAUUCAAAGAUAAACAGUGGCAGAAGGCUGUCAGCUAUUACACUGAAGCUAUCAGACUCAGUGGCAAGAAUGCUACAUAUUAUAGUAACAGAGCUGCAGCUUAUCUUGAACUAGGGAGCUUCAUUCAAGCUGAGGCUGAUUGUACUGAAGCUAUCAACCUUGAUAAGAAGAAUGUAAAGGCCUAUUUUCGUAGAGGCACAGCAAGAGAGAUGCUUGGUUAUUAUAAAGAGGCAAUAGAAGAUUUUAAAUAUGCCCUGGUGCUUGAGCCAACUAAUAAAAGAGCAGCCCUUUCUGCUCAAAGAUUACGGAAGGUGUUCCGUUAGGAGAUUAAGAGAUGACACAAUUAAACAGUUUGAUGAGUGCUGCUUCUCAAUUAUCUUUCACAAAAAUUGGCUUGAAGAGCACACUUUACAAGUAGAGACGGGAGCGACAGUAUACUAAUCCUUCUUCAUGGAAGGGAAUGCUAUGAAGUAGUAAGAAGGCACAUGUUGAUUCCUCCUUCCUCUGAAAUCCAUUUAUUUAGUUUGAAUUUUGAGCAAUUUUUACCCCAUAUUUCUUCCAUUCUGCCCAUUGAGUAAGAGAACAAAAACCCUUAAUAUUUCUAGGCACACUAUGCUCACUAAGAAAAAUGUCCUUUUCUAUUGACACUUUGUGCUGAAAUAGUAUUGGUAGAUAUAACUUCAAAACCUCACAUAACUGCAUGGAAGUAGACCAGUUUUCUUACUUUUUCAAUAUUAGAAGCCCUCCAUUUUCAUCAGUUUUUCUGUUAAAUUUGGCUUGAUUUCUUCCAAUUUUUUUUCUCUACAAAUGGGUGUGUUCCAAUAAGCUAGAAGAGCUAAAUAAAAACAAAACUUACGGUGUCUGUUCCAACUGCCAAUAGGUUAAAUGCCAUGUCUCUUAGAAACUUGUUUGAUUUAAAAUCAAUGCCACUUUUUACUUCUGCUUUUGUAAACUGUCACUUUCAAAACAAUGUCCUGUCCUCCCUCCCUAAAUAAUAUUUUAAUAUGAUAGGAUUUA